rnacentral:tRNA from 1 species
GCGGGCGUAGCUCAGUGGUAGAGCAGCCGAUUCGUAAUCGGCAGGGCAUGGGUUCGAAUCCCGUCGCCCGCU